UUUCUCUUCGGUCUUGCCCUUCAACAGAUCCCUCGACCAAAAUUAGGGUUAGCAUAUUUUGUAGCUACAGUUACAUGGCUGAUCGGAACAAUUCAUCGGCGAUUACAGUGACGGCAGCGGUGAAGCCGAUAUGGGCGAAGCAAGCAGAAGAAGCGAAGCUUAAGAGCGAAGCAGAGAAAGAUGCGGCUGCGAAAGCUGCUUUCGAUGCUACGUUUAAGAACGUCGAAGCUUCAGUCACUGCAGCCGCAGCCGCAUCCGACAGUGACUUAGACGAUGAGGAAUAUGAGCAGAAGAGGCUUGCGGAGAAGCCGAUCGGUCCGGUUGACCCUAUAAAAUGUACGGCCGCUGGCACUGGAAUCGCCGGUGGAACAGCGUGUGCUCCGUCAACUUUCACCGUUGUGACGAAGGAUUCUGAUGGUCGUAAGGUACCACAUGGUGGGGCGACCGUUAAGAUUAGAGUUUCACCUGGUGUUGGAGUUGGAGGAUCAGAUUUGGAAGGAAUUGUGAAGGAUAUGGGUGAUGGGACAUACACAGUGAGUUAUAUUGUUCAGAAGAGAGGAAAUUAUAUGGUGAAUGUUGAAUGUAAUGGAAAGCCUAUCAUGGGUAGUCCUUUCCCUGUUUUCUUCAGCACAGGCAGUACGACUGGUGGGCUAUUGGGUAUAGUACCGUCAACCACAUUUCCAAAUAUGGUCAACCAGAACAUGCCUAAUAUGCCAAACUAUUCUGGUUCUGUAUCUGGGGCAGUCCCAGGAUUGCUUGGGAUGAUACCAGGUAUUGUUCCUGGAGCUUCUGGAGGUGUAGUUUUACCUGGAAUUGGAGCAUCUAUUGGGGAAGUUUGCCGAGAGUACCUUUAUGGACGAUGUGCAAAAACUGAUUGCAAAUUCAAUCACCCCCCUCACAAUCUUCUAAUGACUGCUCUAGCUGCAACCACCAGUAUGGGAACACUUAGUCAAGUGCCCAUGGCACCUUCUGCGGCUGCUAUGGCUGCUGCUCAGGCAAUUGUUGCUGCACAAGCUCUUCAAGCGCAUGCUGCUCAGGCACAAGCACAGUCUGGAAAAGAUUCGUCUGGUGACAAAGAUAGAAAGGCCGAAUCCCUUAAAAGAACUUUGCAAGUCAGCAAUCUCAGCCCACUUCUGACAGUGGAUCAGUUGAAACAGCUGUUUGGUUUCUGUGGUGCAAUCAUUGAUUGUAGCAUUACUGAAUCCAAACAUUUUGCUUACAUCGAAUACUCAAAACCCGAAGAAGCAACUGCUGCUUUAGCAUUGAACAAUAUAGAAGUUGGUGGUCGCCCCUUAAAUGUUGAAAUGGCAAAACAACUUCCUCCAAAGGCAGCUGUCUUAAAUUCAUCAAUGGGCUCUUCUUCUUUGCCCUUGAUGAUGCAGCAAGCAGUAGCAAUGCAGCAGAUGCAGUUCCAGCAAGCCCUAUUAAUGCAGCAAGCUAUGACUGAACAACAAGCUGCUAAUCGAGCUGCAACCAUGAAAACUGCUACAGAUUUGGCUGCCGCAAGAGCUGCAGAAAUAAGCAAGAUGUUGAAAGCGAAUGGCCUGGUUUCUGAAGAUAAGGAAACUGAUGACAAAGCUAAGUCACCUUCUCCCAGUCGUGCUAGGUCAAGAUCCAGGUCGCCAUCCAAAUCUCGAUCCAGAUCAAGAUCUCCAAUAAGUUAUAGGCGAAGGCGGAGAUCCCGUUCUUUCUCUCCUCCACGGAGAUCAAGAGAUUAUAGAUCCAGGUCACCUGUGAGAUCCCGGCGCUAUUCAGGCUACGAAGAUGAAAGGCGGCCAUAUAGGGAUGUUAGAUAUGCUAAUGAAAGAAGUCGAAGACGGGAUUUUGUUAGAUUCUAUGAUCGUCGUUCUCCUGUUUCAAGGAGAAACAGAAGUAGAAGCACAAGUCCCCGAACUAGAAAAUCUUACCGUGACGAUUCAGGCUCACCAAAACACCGCCGAGAAAGUCCAGCACUUAAGACAAGUAGAGCUUCUCGCCAUGAGUCACUAUCGCCUGAACAUAGACGAAAAAGUAGGUCAUCCCCAAAAGAUGGUGAAAGAAAAUCAAAAUAUAGCAGGCGCUCGAGAUCAAAGUCUGCUGAAGUUAGGGACCAGUCUGAUGAUAAGCUAGAAGGAAGCAGGGGUGAGAAAUCCAGGCAGAAGGAUCAAAGAAGGUCAGCAUCACCACAGGUUGAUGAAGAUGCACAGAAGAAAAUGUCACCGGAAGUUGUGGAAGAAAGCAAGUCAAAGCAGAGAAGAACCUCCAGGUCCAGAUCUCCAGAAGAGAAGCAUCUUUCUAGCAGAAGCAGAGAAGAGAAAAGAAAGCAUCAUGCUAGAAGGCGCUCCAGGUCAAGGUCCAAAUCUCCUGAAGAGAAAGUUCACUCAAGUGAUAAAUUAGACAGAAAUAAAGGAGAUAAACCUAAGCAUCGAAGUAGAAGGCACUCAAAGUCAAGGUCCAGAUCUCCUGAAGAAAGACAUCAUUCAAGUGCUAAAUUGGAAAGGAGCAGAAAAGAGAAAUCAAAGAGUCGAAGUAAAAAGCGCUCCAGGUCAAGAUCUGUCGAUGAUAAGCAGCACGGAACUAAACAGUCAGCAAGCCGUUCUGAUAGCCGACGAUCAAAGCUCAGGGCACGUUCUAGAUCAAAUUCUUCUGAAAGUAGGCAUGGAUCAGGUCAAGAUGAAACCAUAAAGGAUGAAGUGAGAGGUCAUAGGGGUCACCAGAGAAGAUCUAGGCAGGAUGACCAUAAUCAUGGAACAACUGAGAUUAGCUUGAUGGAAGAAGAUCCUGCUAAGGGAAUGUAAACCAGUGACUGAUAGCUUCCAAUUCAAAGAGUUCUGAAUCUAUGGGUUAUGGCUUGUGAUACUCAAUUGUGUGAACAUUUUAUUUUACCAUUGCAGAAAACAUGAGAAGUUUUGAGGAAGCACGAUGUCCUGGAAGAUCGUGAUCCCAACACCUGAUGAUCAAGAAAGAUCUGUUAGACUGAAUUAAUUGCAGUUUGUAUGACGGAAAUGCCUAUUUUUGCUUCUUUUGCAGGUCCUUCAUGGAACAUAACCAGAAAGUGAAGUAGCAUUAGUUGAAAGGUUGAGUAUCAAGUUUGUGCCAUCUUGGAUCAACUCUGCUGAGUUUCUUGUGAACUACUUUUUGAGCUCAUGUCUUGGGACUGAUUCUUGUUGGCGCUUUAUCAAUUGAAUGGGCAAAGUUAUAUCUGAUUGUAUUUGAAGGUAUGCAAUUGAAAUUUUUGGUUGUUUGAAUGGGAGGGCAUUCACUGCUUUUGGAACAAUUAUUUUAAGAAUGCUGGCUGAAAAUUGUUGGGAUGAAGAAAUAUGUUAAAGUUUAAGGUUGUUAAUCUUCACAUAUUUUGCAUUGCUUCUUUCCUCAUCUUUUCUUCUCCUUUUUUCCAUCUUCUCCUUUUUUUCCCUUUUUUUCUUUCUUUUGUCUUUCUUCUUGAAAAUGUUUGGUUAGGCAGGCUGCUAUUAAGGUUAAUGUAACCAGAUGUUGCUGAGAUGAUAGUGCAUGAUGCUCCCUGAAUCGAGCAUGAAACAGAUACUCAUAUCUGUUCUUUAAUUGGUGGAACUCAAUUGUUCCAUAACAGGUAAAAUCUUGUUGAAUUCAUUAGCUUCUAGUUUUUAUCCUUGCAAACGGAGUAAUGGAGGACAUGAUGGUUAUUGCUCAACACCUCUAGUUCACACAAUUUUAGUUGCCGAAAUUGUCUAAUUGAUUAACAGGUGGUUUAUCUGGCCUCUUGCUUAUAUUUUAUUCGUCUAGUGUCCUCCGGGGUUACAGUAAUUAAAGUGAUUGGAACCUCUUGCAGUUACUUCAAAUAUUAGGAAAAAAUAUUGCACUUAAGAAAAACAAUAGGCAUUAAGAAAAUAGAAGCGUUAUUAAGACAUUUAUUUGGGGGAAAUGGUAUGUAUGAAAUCCACAUUUGCACUGUAUGCUGACACUUGUUUGUAGCAUGCUAUGACAUGUAAAAGCUACAUACAUUGUAUGAAAUAACCUUAUCUGAAGAAUUCCUUGAUCUGUAUCAUAUAUCUGAUUGUGGAAAUUCUCGCAUUACCCUUGUACUUUAUAUUGACUCCUAUGCUCUCAUGGUGGCCACCUUAUUGUCUUCUGAAGGCAUUCUUUGUUAACUGUCUGAAGAAUCUCUGCCUUCUUUUUUUUUUUUUUUUGGGUUUUCCGUUUUGUUUUUUCUAGGUGGUGCUGGAUGUAUGGGACUGAGAGCUGUAUCCUGUUGUCAAUCUAGAUGUGGUUGAUGUCACACUUAUAAUUUCCUUCCCUUCCCCCUUCCCCCUUUCUUUUUCAUUUACAUUCACGUUUACCCUUCCCUGUCUUUCAUCUCAGCUUCUCUCCCUUGCUUUCCUCUUUUUGUUUUUGGGGUGGUUGGAGGUUCUAUAAGGAGUAGUAUGACUAGCUAAAAGGCACAAGCAGCAAGGCGAGGAAGCAUUAAUUUUGGCUGGUGAUUUGACUAUAUGUAUUUUUGCUAGGAUGUUUUUGUUUGGACAAGGAUUAUAGCUCAAGAGUAGACACUUUGUUUAGGUGUGUAUGGCCAUCUAUGAAAUAAAAAUCAACAGAUAUUUUUCAGUAGUCUUAUUCCUUUGCAUGUUAAAGUUUCAAUACACCCACAUAAUGCUUAUCAUCCUUCUUUC